rnacentral:rRNA from 1 species
GAUGAACGCUGGCGGCGUGCCUAAUACAUGCAAGUCGAGCGAACGGACGAGAAGCUUGCUUCUCUGAUGUUAGCGGCGGACGGGUGAGUAACACGUGGAUAACCUACCUAUAAGACUGGGAUAACUUCGGGAAACCGGAGCUAAUACCGGAUAAUAUUUUGAACCGCAUGGUUCAAAAGUGAAAGACGGUCUUGCUGUCACUUAUAGAUGGAUCCGCGCUGCAUUAGCUAGUUGGUAAGGUAACGGCUUACCAAGGCAACGAUGCAUAGCCGACCUGAGAGGGUGAUCGGCCACACUGGAACUGAGACACGGUCCAGACUCCUACGGGAGGCAGCAGUAGGGAAUCUUCCGCAAUGGGCGAAAGCCUGACGGAGCAACGCCGCGUGAGUGAUGAAGGUCUUCGGAUCGGAAAACUCUGUUAUUAGGGAAGAACAUAUGUGUAAGGAACUGUGCACAUCUUGACGGUACCUAAUCAGAAAGCCACGGCUAACUACGUG